CACAAAACAUACGCUGUGGUUAAAUGGUCAUUGACUGACCGUUUUUAAUAUGUAACAAAAGUUCCAAAACAUAUAACAAUAUAUACACCAAUAUAAAUAACGUAUGACAAAAGGAGAUCAAACAAUAAUGUAAUUUGGUAAAAUGUGGAGGUUUCUUUAGAAAAUGGCAUUCAUUAGAUAUGUAAAGUACAUGGAUUUCUUUAGAAAAGACCUCAAUGGCGUGCUCUGUAAGGCUUCUUUUGACAAUGGCAGUAAAAGAUACAAUACGUUUCCUUAGAAAUGGCACCAUAGCAACUCACUUGUCAUAACAUAGCAUAAAAAUCAUAGCGAAACAGUGUUAUUAUUUCAGUCAAUUAGAAGCGCAACAUACAAAA